rnacentral:rRNA from 1 species
CGGACGGGUGAGUAAUGUAUAGGAACUUGCCGUAAUAGUGGGGGGACAACGUAGUGGAAACGCACGCUAAUACCGCAUACGGCUCGUACGGAGGAAAGCGGGGGAUCUUCGGACCUCGUGCUAUUAGAUAGGCCUAUAUUGGAUUAGCUAGUUGGUAAGGUAAAGGCUUACCAAGGCGACGAUCCAUAGCUGGUUUGAGAGAAUGAUCAGCCACACUGGGACUGAGACACGGCCCAG